AUUAAGUACUACAAGUGUCUUAAACACACAAUUAAUGACAUAUAUUCAAAGCUUAAUUUUCAUCUAUAGCAGACAUGAAGGCGCUUUUACUUCUGACAGUUUCGGCCAUUCUUCUGAGCUCCUAUGUUGUACUUGGAGCUAUAUUACCUGUAACAUGCGGCCCAGUACCUCCAUGUCUACCCCCACCCCAAGGCUGUCACCUUGAGGAUGUGAUGGAUGAAAAUGGCUGCGUGACAUGUGGUUAUAUUAAGUGCCCUUUUGUUAUAGGAUGAUAAACAUCGAAGAUGCAACUAUGGAAUAUAAGUUUACUUUAAUUCAUUUGUCGGGCUUACUGUUUAAUGAAUGAUUUGUAUUAAA
rnacentral:sRNA from 1 species